rnacentral:tRNA from 1 species
CAGGGAAUAGUUUAAAAAGAAUUUCAGCUUUGGGUGCUGACGGCGGGGCGUGUGCC